GUCAGUGUGGUGUAGUGGUUUGAAUGUUGGACUAUGGCUCAGGAGGCCAGGGUUUGACUCCCUUCUUGGGCA